GCUUACGGCCAUACCACCCUGAGCGCGCCCGAUCUCGUCUGAUCUCGGAAGCUAAGCAGGGUUGGGCCUGGUUAGUACUUUGAUGGGAGACCGCCUGGGAAUACCAGGUGCUGUAAGCU
ensembl:rRNA 5S_rRNA 5S ribosomal RNA